rnacentral:misc_RNA from 1 species
AACGAGGCCGACCUGCGGCUGAGUUACCUGCGGAGGGAUCAUUACCGAGUUUACAACUCCCAAACCCCUGUGAACAUACCAAUUGUUGCCUCGGCGGAUCAGCCCGCUCCCGGUAAAACGGGACGGCCCGCCAGAGGACCCCUAAACUCUGUUUCUAUAUGUAACUUCUGAGUAAAACCAUAAAUAAAUCAAAACUUUUAACAACGGAUCU